UUCUAUGGUCGGGCGUGCGGGAGGCCUUGUGCCUGCCGCUGCCGUCGUGGCGGUCUGCAAACCCGCGCGUCCGGCCACCAGA
rnacentral:antisense_RNA from 1 species